rnacentral:rRNA from 1 species
UGGGGAAUAUUGGACAAUGGGCGAAAGCCUGAUCCAGCCAUGCCGCGUGAGUGAUGAAGGCCUUAGGGUUGUAAAGCUCUUUUAGUGGGGAAGAUAAUGACGGUACCCACAGAAAAAGCCCCUGCUAACUUCGUGCCAGCAGCCGCGGUAAUACGAAGGGGGCUAGCGUUGUUCGGAUUUACUGGGCGUAAAAGCGCACGUAGGCGGAUCGUUAAGUCGGGGGUGAAAUCCUGGAGCUCAACUCCAGAACUGCCUUCGAUACUGGCGAUCUAGAGUCCGGAAGAGGUGAGUGGAACUCCUAGUGUAGAGGUGGAAUUCGUAGAUAUUAGGAAGAACACCAGUGGCGAAGGCGGCUCACUGGUCCGGUACUGACGCUGAGGUGCGAAAGCGUGGGGAGCAAAACAGGAUUAGAUACCCUGGUAGUCCACGCCGUAAAAUAUGGAAGCUAGCCGUUGGGAGGUUUACC